GUGUCAGCAGCCGCGGUAAGACGAACCGUGCGAACGUUGUUCGGAAUCACUGGGCUUAAAGGGCGCGUAGGCGGCUCGCAAAGUCAGGGGUGAAAUCCUCCAGCUUAACUGGAGAAGUGCCUUUGAUACUGGCGAGCUCGAGCGAGGUAGGGGCGGGUGGAACUUCCGGUGGAGCGGUGAAAUGCGUUGAUAUCGGAAGGAACGCCGGUGGCGAAAGCGACCCGCUGGACCUCUUCUGACGCUGAGGCGCGAAAGCUAGGGGAGCGAACGGGAUUAGAAACCCCCGUAGUCC
rnacentral:rRNA from 1 species